AUUGAACGCUGCGGCAUGCCUUACACAUGCAAGUCGAACGGCAGCACGGGAGCUUGCUCCUGGUGGCGAGUGGCGAACGGGUGAGUAAUACAUCGGAACGUACCCAGGAGUGGGGGAUAACGUAGCGAAAGUUAACGCUAAUACCGCAUAUUCUGUGAGCAGGAAAGCGGGGGAUCGCAAGACCUCGCGCUCUUGGAGCGGCCGAUGUCGGAUUAGCUAGUUGGUGAGGUAAAAGCUCACCAAGGCGACGAUCCGUAGCAGGUCUGAGAGGAUGAUCUGCCACACUGGGACUGAGACACGGCCCAGACUCCUACGGGAGGCAGCAGUGGGGAAUUUUGGACAAUGGGGGCAACCCUGAUCCAGCCAUGCCGCGUGAGUGAAGAAGGCCUUCGGGUUGUAAAGCUCUUUCGGCGGGGAAGAAAUGGCAACGGCUAAUAUCUGUUGUUGAUGACGGUACCCGCAUAAGAAGCACCGGCUAACUACGUG
rnacentral:rRNA from 1 species